GGUGGUUCUUGGGUGAUGCACCCUGGAAUCAGGCUCCCUCCUCUCUGGUUCUGGGUGCGUUAACUGAGAACUGCA
rfam:Myotis brandtii contig166619, whole genome shotgun sequence.